UACGAAGGGGGCUAGCGUUGCUCGGAAUCACUGGGCGUAAAGGGCGCGUAGGCGGGCUCUUAAGUCAGGGGUGAAAGCCCAAGGCUCAACCUUGGAAUUGCCUUUGAUACUGAGGGCCUUGAGACCGGAAGAGGUCGGCGGAACUGCGAGUGUAGAGGUGAAAUUCGUAGAUAUUCGCAAGAACACCAGUGGCGAAGGCGGCCGACUGGUCCGGUUCUGACGCUGAGGCGCGAAAGCUAGGGGAGCAAACAGG
rnacentral:rRNA from 1 species